GACGUAGGGGGCCAGCGUUGUUCGGAAUUACUGGGUGUAAAGGGUUCGUAGGCGGUGCGGCAAGUUGGGAGUGAAAUCUCUGGGCUUAACCCAGAGGCUGCUUCCAAAACUGCUGUGCUUGAGUGUGGGAGAGGCGCGUGGAAUUGCAGGUGUAGCGGUGAAAUGCGUAGAUAUCUGCAGGAACACCCGUGGCGAAAGCGGCGAGCUGGAUCACUACUGACGCUGAGGAACGAAAGCUAGGGGAGCAAACAGG
rnacentral:rRNA from 1 species